GUUUUCAUUAUCUCCUUGGCCAUGUUGGGGGAGGAUACAACCACGGAAGAAAUUUCACCAAGUUGGAGAUGCAUGAGAGGUCCGUAUUUAAGGGCAAGGUCUCGGAGAGUACGAUGUGGAAGUGAACCAGCCAUUGCUAGUUGAUGCAGGUUCCCUAUCAGAGGUAGCUUCUUUGGUCCCGGGGGUAGUUUGUGAGAAAGGGUGGUUUUUGGCUUGUAAUAAUGCUUUGCAAGCAAAUGCAACACCAGAGAGAAAAACAAGCUAAUAAACAAGAACGACGCUUGAGCUUCCAUGGUAUUAUUGGAGCACUCAACUCUGGUGUUUGUGAUUGUUAUUGCGGAGUGCUAGUUCUUAUUUAUAUACACAUUUAAAUUAGCUAGUUAUCUAGGAUAAAUAGUAAUUUUUAGUUUUGUGUAAGACGCUAAUAAAUUCGCUCAGCAUCAGUUAUUAUUAAUAAAAUAAUUUAUGUGAGAUAUUUUAUAUUUGUCAGCUUAUUACAUAUUUAAAGACAAAAAUAAUUAUUUAUUUAAAAUAUAAUUUAAUUUUUAUUUUUUUAUUUUUUAAUAAUUACAAAUGUAACAUUACAAUAAAUAUUUAAAAUUAAGAAAAUAAAUAUAAGUUAAAACAAAUAUAAUAAUAAACAUAAUAUUGUUUAAAAAGUAUAUUUUAUCUGUUAUUCUAAAUUUCUCUUGUAAUAAUGUUAGGUAAUGAAAGAUUCAAGUCGAAUCUCACUUUUGUUUGAGUCUCAUAUUUUGGAUAAGAUAUAGUCACAUUAAAAAUUUCAAAGUAAUAGAUAAAUUAUAUUUAUUAAUCAAUAUGAUGUUUAUUAUUAUGUUUGUUUUAACUUAUGUUUGUUUUCUUAUUUUUAAGUGUUUAUUGUAUUGUUAUACUUGCAAUGAUUAAAAAAUGUGAAAAAGAUAAAAAUUAAAUUAUAUUUUAGAUAAAUAACUAUUUUCGUUUCAUAAUAUAUAGAACAUAGACAAAUUCAUCCUUGAGUGUGUCACAUAAACUCUUUCAUUAUCAUUAAUAGACCAAAAUUAAUGAAUAGAUGAAUUUGUUAUACUUUUUUUACUUUCAAUGAUUAAUUUUUUUUAAUUUUUUGAAAACAAAUUUAAAAACAAAAAUAACUAUUAGGCUCAUAAAGUCACUCUAGCAAAACUAACUUAUACGUAUAUAGAUAUUCUAAUGUUAAUGCUCAUUUUGAACUUACGUUAAAGUAAACAACUUACCCUUGUUAAACUUUAAAUAUUGGUCACUAACUUUAAAAACGCUUAUUCUAAAAAAUCUGUUUGGAUAAGCUUCUUUAGAAACAUUUUUUAAAAAAAAAAUAAGAAGAAAAAAGAUGAGAUGAACUUUUCCAUAAACAAAAAUAAGCUCUCCAUGAGUUAAUUUUUAGAAGCUCACUAAUCUAAUUUCUUUAAAAGAUAAGAUGACAUCUACAAAUUAAUUAAUGAAAAAUUUAUUUUAACUAAUGGAGAAACUCAUUUUAUUUUUUUUUUCUUAUUUUUUUCUUCUAAAAAUAUUUCUAAAAAAGGUUACAUCCAAACAGACCCAAAAUCGUUUACUUUCACUCUUUCUAGAUAUUGCUUAGGUAACAUCGAUAUAUAUUUUCAAAACCUUGCUCUGGCACUCUAUCUACAUAUUUAUAUCUAUCAAUAUAUCUAUAUAUGAGACGUAUUAAGUAUAUCAAUUAUUACUUGUUAAUCAACGUGGGAUAUAUGUUAGUCAACCUUUCCUUAUCAGGGAUGUCAAUAUGUUGGUAUCAUAGCCGAUUCAGUGGCUGAGGUUUGCUGCUCGUGGCUGCCCGUAAUCUCCCAUAUUGGGUCUUAUCUGUUUAGCACUUUAGCCUGACAACCACCGUUGCCGUGUAACCAUGUAUUGUGGACUGAUAUUGAGGGCAUAAGUUUGCCACGUAGAAUUGCUGUGUAGUGGGCUUUGCCCCUCUCUUUAUUAAAAAAAAUUAAUUACUCAUUUAAUUUUGGUAAAAUUAUAAAGUUGGUCUUUCAAUUUCAAUUUUGAUCUUCCUUUAAAAAUUAUUGACGAAUUUUAUCCUCCUAAUUUAUCCAAUUACUCAAUUUUGGUCUUCCAAUCUAGAUUUGGGCGUUAAUUGUUAAAGAAUGUUUAUUGAUAUGUGUCAUGUUCUAUUUGAAUAAUGACUGUCACAUGUCAUGUUCUGAUUGACCAAUAACAACAACAAUGUAUUUCAUCUUUCAUGAAGUUGACAUCCAAUCAGAACAUGACAUAUGACAGUCAUUAUCCAAUGAAAACGAAAACGUAACACGUGACCAUCAAUAUUUCUUUGUAACAUCAACGUCCAAUUAUAUAUGGAUUCGAGGACCAAGAUUGGAUGAUUGGAUAAAAUAAGAUGACAAAAUUUGUCAAUAAUUUUAAAGGGAAACCAAAAUCGAAAUUAAAAAUAAAUAAGAGGACCAAAAAUAUAAUUUUACCUUUAAUUUUUAUAAUUUUUAAACUUAUUUUUUUAGUUUAUAUAUUUAAUAACUGAAUUUUUAGUUCUUAAAUUUUAUAUUUUAAUUUUUAAAAGGUCUUUGUUAAAAUUCUUUUACUAAUUAAUGAAGUUAAAAAAAAUUAACGACAAAGACCUUAUUAAUUAAUGGAGUUAAACUUUAAGAUCUAAAAAAUUCAUUUAUUAAAUUUCAGGGAUUGAAAUAUUAACUUAUUAAUUAUAGAUAUUAAAAAAAGAUAAGUUUAGAACUAUAAGAACUAAAUAGAUAAUUAAACUUAAAAAAAAUAUUUGUAUCAUUUAAUACGUGAGUUCGGGACAACUUAUUCUUUAUCUUAAGCAUCUAUUAUAAUGAAAUAUUUUGCUUUUAAAAAAAAAUAGCCUUUUUCAUCUUUCUCUCUUUUUUUUUAAUGUCUUACCAAACUGAAUUAGGCACGGAAAAUUCUAAAAUUUACCAAGUAUAAUAGUGAAAAUGAGAAAUCAACUUUCCUCAAUAUAUUUUUUUUUAGUGGAAAUAAAAGACAAGCAAUAGAAAGAAAGAACUAAAUCUUAGUAUGAGAAACACCCCUGGCAUCAUCGCUCAAUAGAUGCUUCAUUUGACUAGGACAAGAUUCUACAACAACCAAAGGAGCCAUAGAGGAGGAGCUAGCCUCGGGAGCCAAUCCGCACAUAAGUUGGCCUCACGGAAGACAUGCCUAAAGUUGAGAUUCCACGGGAGAGAUUUGAAGUGAUUGAUUCUCCUGUUUACCGAAGUAUAAGGGUGGGUUCUUAAAUCAUGAUUCUGCAGAAGUUGAAUUGAAACGAGUGAGUCUGAUUCAAAAGUAACAUCUCUCUAGCCUUCAUUCCAAGCUAACUGUAAAUCGUGCAUGAUUUGCAGUAUGCUCAGUGUUGACAUUUGUUAAAACACCAAUAGGGGAGAUAUUGCUAAUAAUAUAAAUUUGAAAAUGAAAUAUUUCGCAAGUUCUUUACCUAAUGCUUUUAUCCAAAUUAAUUCAUAAACGAGUUGAUAUUUAGGAGAGAGCCUGAUUGGUUUAAUGAAUCUUAAGUGUUCCAUGUUAGCUCACGACAAUAGGAUAACCACAAUGUUACUUGCUAGAAAGACUUUAGAUUUUCAUAUGUGAACUCAUUACUAGGAUAACUUUUGAUACAAGAAUUUUUAUGCUUGAAUUUAUCGUGAAUUUCAUUAUAUUUGUUUAAAAGCAAAUCAUUUGAUCGAACUAUCGAUUCUUAUAUUAAUUAUUUAGAAAUUAAAGGAGUAAAAUAAAAAAAGUAUUCUUCCAUAGACCACAAAUAAACUUGAUACAACACUUCACCUAAAACCUUAAGGUUUAUGGAUCUUGAUUACUUGUAUGAUGUUCGAUUUAUAUAUUAUUAGCUAUUAUAAGAUUUGACGUUUAGACUUAAAUUCCAACAUAUAAAAUAUUAAAGGAAUAAAAAAGAAAAUAUAAUAAAUUAAUUAUAACUAAUUUUAAUAUAAUGAAAAGUUUAACUACUUUUCUUAAUAUAUGUGUUAUAAUUAAAUAACAUAAAAAUAAAUAAAAGAAGCAAUAAAUAAAUAGUGUAAAGAGUGAAAUGUAGGUCUACAACUUUGGAGCCGUUUUCCUCUUUAAAAUAAAUUGCAAAGAAUUUCUGAAUUUGAUUUUGGGUUUUUCAAGUUGGUGAAAGGUUUUUGCAGGUCUAAAUUCUAACUUCUAACCGUUCGCUUCACCCAGUGGCAAAGUCAGUGUGAGCAAAUUAUUUUAAAAAAUAAAAAUUAUUAUAUAAAGACAUAAAUAUUAAAAUUAUGUGUAUCGAGUUAAAAAAAAUGCCCAAUUGAUGAAUAAAGCUUAAAAUAUAUAGUGAGCUGAAACGGAAUUAAAUGUAAGAAAACACUAGUAAAUAAAAAACAAAAUUUGACAUCAGUUAAAAAAAAUCGAAAGCAAAAGUUCAAAUUAUAAAAUUGAGGAUGCAAAAAAAAAUAAUAACAAUAAAGCCCCGUUUAAAAGAGUUUAUUAACAACUCAUCUGUACUUAUAAGAGUAUUUGAAAAGGCUUAUAAAAAUAUAUGAUGAAUUCUUGUAAGAUGUUUCGUGCUAUUUUAACAUGAGCUGUCUUACUGAGCUUAUUGCUACAGCUUAUGCGGAGCGACUCUCGUAACAUCCAAACUUCAAAUCCCAUCCACAGACAAUACGGCGUAUCAGUGUUUGUUUUUUUGGUUCCUCCCUCGAAAACUAACUGUUUAUUUUUUUCGUUCCCCCUCCAAAAUCCAGUUUCGUUUGUUACUCGCCAUUUUUUAUUCUUCCCCCCCAAAAGUUUUCUUAACUCUUCUCUCAAUAUAAUAUAUAAUGCUUUGUUGAUACGUUGAAUUUCCAAUUGAUAUGAACAAAGAGAGGGGUCUUGAAUUUAGACAUGACUCAUGAUCUCCAUAAAAGGUUUCUCUGACCCAAAUUAAUCAAUUUGAGUAUAAUGCAUAGCAUAAUAUAUUGCUCUUGGUUUAAAGAAGAAGAAAAAAACGAUGACCCAUUAUGUGCAUAUUUAUUAGAAAUGGAUCGGAAUUGAUUUUCCAACAGUAUUGCACAGCCAAAAAUAAAAUAUGGUAUGAAUGCGAACUGGAUAGCUUAAAGUAAUUCCUUUGUUUGAUUAUUAAUGCAUUACUAUAUUAUCAGGAACUACAAUUUGUUUAUAAUAUAAAUAUUUAUAUUAUAUUUGCAUUGUGCUAGAAUAGCUCCUAAAAUCUCUUCAAACCAAGUAUAAGAAAAAGAAAAUAGUAGUGAAGAAUAAUCGAAGGCUGAAUGUAAAAAUAGGUAAGUGGUGUCCAAGAAACUUGAUUCCUCCAACCAUAUCAAUCGUGCAGUGUCAAAGAUCAUUAACAACGGGAAUCAAACACAACUCAUUUUUCCUUCCAACUGUCAAUCCGAAGUUUUCAACCAUAUCCAUAUACUCAGGUUUCAUCUCAUUUGGGAGUUCCCAAUUGAAGUGAUAGAGUAAUAGAGCGAGUGGAAGCAUAAUGUUGGCUAAACCAAGUGUCAUUCCUGGGCACAUUCUCCUUCCUGCUCCAAAAGGAAGAUACUCAAAGUUAUUUCCUUUGAAAUCGAUAGAGCUACCAUCAAACCUCUCUGGGACAAACCUCUCAGCAUCAGUCCAAUAUUGGGGAUCUCUUGCAAUCGCCCACGCAUUUAUCAUGACUUUAGUCUUGACAGGUAUUUCAUAUCCAUCAAUGAUGGUUCGCUUAGAGCAUUCUCUAGGGAGCAAUAAAGGAGAAGGAGUGUGUAGCCUUAAUGUCUCUUUGAUCACCAACUUUAAGUAUAUAAGUUCCUCUACAUCUGUUUCAUUGAUUAUUUUCAAUUCCCUAAAUGCUUGUCUUACUUCAGCCUGUGCUUUCUCCCUCACUCUUGGGUUUCUCAUCAUUUCUGCCAUAGCCCAUUCAAGUGUUGAUGCUGAAGUAUCCGUUCCAGCAGUAAAUACGUCCUAGUCAAACAAUUUUCAAAUAGGUUUAAUGGUAAAAUGAAGAUAUCAUAAAUUUUUGGAGAAAAAGGGGGGACAUAUAUAAAAACAAAUGAAUCUGUUGGGGAUCCAUAACAGUAUGUUUUCUAUUGUUUAGAAUUGGUUAAACAAGGUUGCUUAACUUUAAACAAUUCUUGUAAGUAACUGCGUUUGAGAUGACCUCAAGGAGUGCCAAAAAGAUGUCAUGCAAACAAUUUUCUCCAUAAUUUUGUAAUGUAGGAGAUUAGGAGAGUAAUAUAAUGUGUUAUUGUUUUGCUUACUAAUAUUAUAGCUUUGAUGUUUGUGGUCGUAAUUUUGAUCUCGAGAUUGUCACUUUGUUGGAUUCUCAAAAGAACAUCAACAAGAUCCUCCUCCUCUAGGUCAACCCUGCCUUCUCGUCGUGCCCUUUCACGCUUUUCUUGAUGCUCUUUGAGAAUGUUAUCCACGAUCUUGUCAACCUGCUCUUGCAUCUUCUCCAAUUUGGCCUUCCUUCCAUUUAUGAGAUGAAGUUUCAUCGAAGGAAACAAAUCGUCAAGUUCAAAUCCUGCCCCCACUACUACCAAUUCUUUAACCAAAGACACGAACUCUUCUUGGUCCUUACAUUUGUUACCAAAUGCUACCCUGGAAAUAGCAGAACUUACCAAGGAGUAAAUUUUAUUGGUAAGAUUGACUGGUGAACCUUCUGAUGUUCGAACUGAUUCUAUAAAUUUGGCUGUCUCGUCUUCUCUAAUAUCAGAGAAAGACUGAACUCUCUUGGCACUUAGAAGCUCCGACACACAUAUUUUCUUCAUUUGUCUCCAGUAAUCGCCAUAUGGAGCAAAAGCAAUAUCACUUUGACCAUAGGUCAAAAUUUGAGCAGGAAGAAAUUGUGGCCUCUGCACAAAAGCAAGAUCAUGGGUUUUCAUUAUCUCCUUGGCCAUGUUGGGGGAGGAUACAACCACUGAAGAAAUUUCACCAAGUUGGAGAUGCAUGAGAGGUCCAUAUUUAAGGGCAAGGUCUCGGAGAGUACGAUGUGGAAGUGAACCAGCCAUUGCUAGUUGAUGCAGGUUCCCUAUCAGAGGUAGCUUCUUUGGUCCCGGGGGUAGUUUGUGAGAAAGGGUGGUUUUUGGCUUGUAAUAAU
rnacentral:lncRNA from 1 species